rnacentral:rRNA from 1 species
UACGUAGGGUGCGAGCGUUAAUCGGAAUUACUGGGCGUAAAGUGUGCGCAGGUGGCCGCGCAUGUCGAGUGUGAAAUCCCCGGGCUUAACCUGGGAACUGCGCUUGUAACUGGCAAGCUGGAGUGUGGCAGAGGGGGGUGGAAUUCCACGUGUAGCAGUGAAAUGCGUAGAGAUGUGGAGGAACACCGAUGGCGAAGGCAGCCCCCUGGGCUAACACUGACGCUCAUGCACGAAAGCGUGGGGAGCAAACAGG